GUCUGAGUAUGCCCAGCUCAAAGAAGCACUUUGUGCUGUGACGCAGGAGAGAGAUUUAGCCCUGUGGGAGAGGAACCAGCUCCAAGGCAAACUGGAGAACUUAGAGCAGGUGCUUAAGUGUCGUGUUGGGAAGUCUGACCAGGAGCUGUGAAAGAGUAGAAGCUUGGAGCAGUCUGCCCCACCCCUUCCCUUACUAUUCCUCCUUUUAAUGUGUACCGACUCACCCUGACCUGACCCUUCCCACCUCCCCUUGUCCCUUCUCUCCCUGCUAGAAUUAUAAGGUAUCAUCCAUCUGUUAGGGAACAGUCCUAUUCAGUCCCAUUCUGAAUGCUUUCUGUCCACCUCAGUGGCUGUGCUUACUUUUCCCUUUAUCCCUGGGCUGCUUACCAGACAUACACCUGGCCUAGUCACCUGGCUAUAAGACCACAGCACUGUGGAAUGUGAUUUUUGCAUGAGGCAGGACAAAGAGUUUGGCUUCAUGAUGACGGGAGGGGAAGGAAGAGGAGAUAGAGACACUGGGUCAUCUCUCGCGAUGAUAAUGUCACCUACAAGUUUGAUGACAUUACCUAUCCUGGACCUUAAUUUUUACUGGCACGGAAAUGUCAUCUGCUUCUUUCACCUUACAGUGUUGCAAAUAUUCACAUUAAGUAGGAGUAAUAAUAUGGCUGGAUCACAUGGGCGUUGUGCACUGUGAAGAGCCCAGCAUUCAGUCUGUUGUAUUGUAUGGCUUCCUUUGUUGUUAUGGAUGACCACAGACAAGUGAGCACGCUACGGAGUUUGCUCACCCUUUUCAUGUAACUUAAAACCCUGUAUUGAUCAUGCAAAGACAACAUCGCUGAGGACAGCUUAUCAAACAGUACCAGUAACAAGACUUCUAACAGGUAUUGUGUUACCUAAAGGGGGCAGCAAACGUGGAUUGUUGUCGUUUUUUCACACAGCAAAGCAUCUCUAGUCCUCAUCCAUAAGCACCUCCGUGCACAAUUUGAUCUGAUCUGUGGAUCAUGUGACAUAAACUGUUCUCACAUGGCAUUUUCUGUGACUUAGUUUAUGUCUUUCUUGUAUUAAGGGUUUUAAAGUCAGUACACUGUUAUCGGGGCUGUGUUUGUGGGAUGUGUGUGCACAUGUAACACCUGUGUUUUGUCUGAAUGUGGAAUAGAAGACUGGAGAUGCAAUUUGUGUUCACUCAGUGCCGCUGGAUUUAGUUCCACUAACAGCAGCCCUCUCUAUGCUCCCCCACAAUCCUCCCCCCUCGGCUCUCCAUCCCUGCCCCCCUGCGGACAGCAUAUGCGCGAGGCUGCGGAGCGGAGGCAGCAGCUAGAGUUGGAGCAUGAGCAGGCCUUGGCUGUACUCAAUGCAAAGCAGCAGGAGAUUGACCUUCUUCAGAAGGCUCAGGUUGAGGCUAAAAAGGAACAUGAGGGUGCUGUCCAUCUGUUAGAGAACCACUUGGACAGCAUGCAGGCCAAAGUCCGUGAGCUGGAGGAAAAAUGUCGGUCUCAGAGUGAGCAGUUCAACCUCUUGUCAAAAGAGCUGGAGAAGUUCCGGCUCCAGGCUGGAAAGUUUGACAUCCUCAGCACCGAACCUCUAACUCUAUGUGAAUCACCUGGAUCACCCAACAAAUCCCUGUCCCAGCUUCUUAAUGGACUGGCUGCCCCCAUAGGAAAAGGCAAUGAGGCCCAGACGAGCAGAUCCUUGAUAUCUGAGUUCAUUCGGCCGCUCCAGAUCAGUGGAGACAAGCCCGAGCUCCUCUCUGUCAAGCCAACAUUCCUCACUCGCGGCCGAGCCAGCAGCCCAGCACGGGCUUUCCUGUCUGAGAUGGACAAAGAACUUCGCUCAACCACCAGGUCCAAGCCGAGGUUCACAGGGAAAGUUCGUCUGUGUAUUGCUCGAUAUAGCUACAAUCCUUAUGAUGGGCCCAAUGAGCAUCCUGAGGCAGAGCUCCCUCUGGUGGCUGGGAAGUACCUCUACAUUUAUGGGACAAUGGACGAGGAUGGCUUUUAUGAAGGAGAGCUGCUGGAUGGACAACGGGGGCUUGUUCCCUCCAAUUUUGUGGAUUUUGUCCAAGAUGAGGAGACAUCUUCUGUCAAACACAGGGACACAGUGACUAAAGAACCUGGCUACCUCAACCACAGUAGCCUGGGGCCUCAGAGACUGGGGGUGGGGACGGUAACAGGAACAAGCAUAAGCAGCCUGCUCUCUGAUAGUAAACUAGACUGCCUAAGCACCAGCAGCUUGGGCAUGGACCUCCUGGGCUCCUCCAGCAAUGGCACAGGAACCUUAGAUGUUAACAUUGACGAGGUUGGUGAAGACAUUGUGCCUUAUCCCCGCCGCAUCAACCUAAUUAAACAACUGGCCAAGAGUGUGAUUAUUGGCUGGGAUCCUCCUGUGGUCCCACCGGGCUGGGGCUCCAUCAGUGGCUACAAUGUCUUGGUGGAUAAAGAGGUGCGCAUGAGUGUCCCAUAUGGGGGCAGGACAAAGUCUCUUAUUGAAAAGCUCAACCUAGCCACCAACACCUAUCGAAUCUCAGUGCAGAGCAUCACGGACCGGGGCCCGUCAGACGAGCUGCGAUGCACUCUGCUCGUGGGUAAAGACGUAGUGGUGGCACCUUACUAUCUGCGGGUGGACAACAUCACACAGGUUUCUGCUGAGCUCUCUUGGAUGCCCAGCAACAGCAACUACAGUCACACCAUCUUCCUCAACGGUGCAGAGUAUGACAUGGUGAAGGCCGGAGGCUACAAGUAUAAGUUCUUCAACUUGAAGUCCAUGACAGUUUACAAGGUGAAGGUUGUGGCGCAGCCGCAUCAGGUGCCUUGGCAGCUUCCGAUGGAGCAGAGGGACAAGAGGGAAAUUUCUGUGGAGUUCUGCACUCAGCCUACAGGUCCCCCUCUACCCCCUCAAGAGGUGCAGGUCCAGUGUGGUCAGACACCUGGGGUCCUGCAGGUCAGAUGGAAGCCGCCACCUCUGACGCCUUCAGGAACCUCUAAUGGGGCCAGUGUGAUUGGCUAUGCUGUGUGCACAAAAGGACAAAAGAUAGCAGAAGUCUUGUACCCCACAGCAGACUAUGUGACCGUGGAAUUAAACAGGAUUCAUUGUCUGGAGGCCAGGGAAGUCAUUGUAAGGACGUUAUCGACACAGGGAGAGUCUCAAGACUCACCAGUGGCCAUCAUCCCGCACAAUCUGUUGGGCUCUCCACGCCUGUCACAUCGAACCACUGCACCACCCCACCCUAUACCCCACCCACAGACCCAUCCGGUACAUUCACAGACUCAUCCCCCUUACCCAUCAACGUACCCCCCAAAUCACCCUCAGCCCCAAGUUCAGCCUCUGCCUCGAGCCCAGCCCCACACACUGCCCCACGCACAGCCGCACUCUCAGCCCAUUCAUCACCCGCCUCCCCAUCCCCAGUCUCAUUUCCAGCGUCACCCCAUACCUAAGUCCAAACCAUUAGUAAGUGCCAGAGAGCCAGAAACCAAAGAGCAUGAGGUGGGCCUGCGGCCAAGCCAGCCCUGGGAACGUUCCCCCUCUCCGUUGCCUCCCAUGCGUGGACCCAACCUCGAGCCGCCGCACUUCCAACCACGCCGCUCGCCCUCUCCACAGAGGAUCCUGCCACAGCCUCAGGGAGUCCCUAUUCCCAACACCAUCGCCAAGGCCAUGGCCAGGGAAGCUGCCCAGCGGGUGUUCGCUGAGGGUAACCGGUCAUAUCAGGUUGAGAAGAGGAACAUCUUUAGUGAUCGGGGAAAUGCCCUACAUCCACUUAACUCUGAUGAGGAAGAGGAUGGCUACGACUCCCCUCAUGCAAGGAGGAGAGGAGCCUCGGUGGAUGAAUUCCUUCGAGGCUCAGAGCUGGGCAGACAGCACCAUCAUCACCACUACAGUCACAGUGAGGAGUACCACACAGAGAGCAGCCGGGGCUCUGACCUGUCUGACAUAAUGGAGGAGGAUGAGGAAGACCUCUACUCUGAGAUGCAACUGGAGGAAGGCCGCAGGAGAAGCAUCAACUCUCACAACACUCUCAAGGCAUAUUACAAGCGUCAGGACUUAGCUGAGGAAAGAGACUGCUGGGACCUCCAGAGGGAGGUGGUGAAGCAGAAGUCGCUCCGCAGUAAACGCCUCCACAGUAUCCCAGAGGUGGCGGAGGAGGAGUCGGACAGUGUGGACAGCAUGGGCCAGCGCCUGAGCUUUGAAGAGGGUGGGCGACCAGGAACACCACACACUCAGAGGAGGAUGUAUUCCCAGGACAGCCACAUGCACAACCACCUCACACCCAACAAAAACUCACGCCUCCUGCAGCGUCAGCGCUCCUCCCCACGUUUCACCGACAGUCGCUACUGCUACAACACGGAGGACUGCAGCUUGGGCCGACCCAACCGGCAGAACACCAAGAGUCCUGACAGUGGUUUAGACUGUGGCAGUGAGGAAGAAGGCUCUCUAGGCAGGGGGCACCGUGGGUACUACGCACAUGGGAGCCCAAUGCGGGGGCCUGUCCGCAUCAUCCACUGUGAAGGUCCGGUUGAAAGACGGGCGUUGGCCAUGGGCCGCAAAAGAACUCUGACACGCCAAUGCAGCGUGGAGGAGGAGUUCUCUGAUGUGCCGAUGACUACAGCCAAGUCGGUACACACGGGUGACUUUAGGAACAGGGAACACUUUGGGCCUGGUCGGGAGGCCGGGCCACGAAACUACUCCAGGGAGGGGGCCCUGAGCGAGGGCAGGCUGAACGAACUGGACAGGGUCUAUUACAGUCCUCACAGGGAGGCUAGGGCCCAGUCUUUGUCCAGGCUCAACCGGGACCAGGCACUGAUCAUUGGGAACUCACCAUCACAUGGAAGCUCGGACCGUCUGGACCCCUCAGGGAGGAGGCCGGUUCACAUCGGCACCCCCCCUCAACGACGACCCAUCCCAUCCAUUGAGAUCACCAUGGACAGUAACAGUGAGGGGAGUGAGGGGAACCUCUCACCCGUCAAGGAGGAUGUUAACUAUGGCAGUGUAGCUCGGCGCAGGAUAUGGCGAUCUAUGUCCUCAGAGGAUCAAUAUGACGGCUAUGGCGGGCGCAGGCACGGGCGGGGGCGGCGUUCCCCGGAUUACUAUGAGGAGUCGGAGCAGGACGAGCUGACCCGCGUGUUUGUGGCUUUGUUUGACUACGACCCCCUGUCAAUGUCUCCAAACCCGGAUGCUGCUGAUGAGGAGCUGCCUUUCAAGGAGGGCCAGAUCAUCAAGGUGUUUGGAAAUAAAGACACAGAUGGCUUCUACAGGGCAGAGAUCCGGGACCGGGUGGGCCUGAUUCCAUGUAACAUGGUGUCUGAGAUCCAAACGGAGGAUGAUGAGAUGAUGGACCAGCUCCUCAAACAGGGCUUCCUCCCACUUAACACUCCUGUGGAGAAGUUAGUGAACUGCGACCGUUUCAAAGAUGGCCGCUCAAUAAAUCGCAGGUCCAGAAAGUCCAAGAGAGAGAGGAACAGGAGAAGUGGGCGUCAACACCCGAUGUCAACACGGCGAAUGGUGGCGCUGUACGACUACGACCCCAGAGAGAGCUCCCCAAAUGUUGAUGUAGAGUAUGAGGGCAGCAGACUGAAUGAGGAGGCUGAACUGACUUUCAGUGCCGGUGACGUCAUCACAGUUUUUGGUGAAAUAGAUGAAGAUGGCUUUUACUAUGGCGAGCUCAAUGGACACAAAGGACUUGUUCCUUCCAACUUUCUAGAAGAAGUGCCUGAUGAUGUAGAGGUUUUUCUCACUGACUCACCAUCUCGAUACCCCCAGGACACUCCAGCACGGAUAAAGACCAAAAGGAAGAAGAGUGUUCAUUUCACACCUUAAAGGCUCUGUUUCCGUCACGUAAGUGAGCAACUGAGGAUACCAAGAUUACGCUCCCCUCGUCUAAUGCAGAUGACAUGGGUGCCCCUUAGUUUCUGGUUCCAUUGGAAAAAUCGGGUCCGCCCAGAAGAGCAGCCUCUCCCACAGUGCGUCCACACAUCCCUGGCUCCGGCCCUGCCACCGUGGGGCCCGGCAGUCCCAUCAGGGCCCCACUGGACAUGUACUCCAAAAAGAGAAAGGGACUGCUCUCCAAAGGGAAGAAACUAUUGCAAAGACUUGGCGCUGUAAAAUAAUUCCUUGACAUAUUUGGAGAGUGUCAUCCACUCUUUAAAGUGAUGAAAAAAUAUCAGUUCACCAGAAAAAAUAUACAGUGGACAGGUGGCAUUUGUGAGCUUAGCAAAUGCUUUAUUCUUGUACAUCUAUUGUAUACUAGAAUAUUUGUAUUUUGUUAACAGUUAACUACAUAUUUUCAAUAAUACAUUUCAUAUUAUGGUCCUGAUGCCCCAUGGUGUCAGCUGAUUUAGUAUUGAGUAUCUUUCCUUCAAGUCUCUGGCUGGAGUUUUGCUGUAGACAGAGACGGGGCCCAGGUCCUUCUCCUGAUUGCACUUUUACAUCACGCGUCAAGAGUCUAAUGUCUCUGUGCACAGAGCGUAGAAUGUCACACACUGACGGCUCAGUUAGGCCUGGAAGUCCACCACUAAUGAAAAACACUCGUUAAACUUGUGUAGUCUCGCUGCGCAUCUGGCCGUCUCCAUCUCCGUCCCAAUCGACGGCGGCGAGUCUCAUGCAGUAAACCGGCAUGAGAGGUUUGCAUGCUGUACUUCAGCACAUUCCCUCUGGACCCCUUGAGAGCGUGUGCAAUGUGAUGGGCUCGGUACGGACCUAGGAGCAUGCAGUACUUUAAUACUACGUGGCUGACUUGCUGUGCAGUAUACUGUGACUAAUCAGCUACAUGCUGUUCUUCUGUCCUGUCUCUAUAGGUGUGCUAGAGACAUCCCCCUCUCAUCCCACAGCAAACAUGUCAGGCACAUAAAAAACAAGCACACACUGUACUUACUACAGGGUCUCCGCAGUUAAGUCAGCCUGCGACGUCCAGCAGAAUGGAAAUGCCUAGUAGAUCCAACCUCCAUGUAUUUGCCUUAUAAUUGCACAAUGGUUAGUACUUUGUCCAUUACAGCGUUCAGUUUCAUGCCUAUUAUUCAUUUCUAUCAAUAUGUCAUAAAACAUCACUUUCCAGAUGUUAUUCCUUACUUGUAAUGUGCAGGGUAUUGUGUGACUGUCGUGUUUACCAUAGGAUUUCAGCGUAUCCCUCCAAAUCUCCCGUCAAUAAGCCACAAAAAAUAUAUUAAUUGUAAAUUAAAUCAAUACUUCUAGAAUACAAAGGCAGGGGCGAACGGGAAAAUGAUGGCACUUUAAAAAGCCCUUGAAAUGAUUAUUUUUGAUGCCACACUGAUCCACAUCUGAUUACAACUACUGUACAAAAGGGAACACUGAAGGUAUUCAAAACAGAUGAAAUGUGACAGAGCAUCAGUAGGCACCCGUUUUACUGCAUUUUAAUCCCAACAUGCCACACUUUUUGGCUUCACUAGAAGACUUUUUUACAGUAGUUAACACAGACACAAAGCUACCUCUAUGUUACCCCUCUGUCCUACUAGUCCAAAAUCUAUUAGAUCCGAAAUAUGUUUAUUCCAGCCAAUCUGUCAUUGAUGCCUGUUCAGUGUGUCCCAGGUUAUGUUGGUGCAGGAUACAAGUACUGUAUAUCUAUAUAAUUAUCUACACCUUAAUGUAGAGUAGUGAAUGUAUGGAAUGUAUGAUGAAUUGAAAGCCAAUGUAUUUUCAAAGCUGCCCAAAAGGAUUGUGCUGAUGUCCGUCUGUGCGUGAAAACCUCCUCCUCACACCAUUCUGUUUUCCAUUUCAUCCUGUCAUGAAUUUACAAAUCCAGCGUAUUUUUUCUAUACACAACUGAGUUGAACUGAAACUGCCAAAAAAGAAUGUAUGCAAAACAUUCUGUAAUAUUUUCUGUACAAUUCUUGGCUGCACAGCCAUGUUAACUUAAACUGAUGUACAUCUUUUCCUAUUUAUGGACCAUGUCCUCAGACAUUGCUUCUAUUCAUUUCGAGUGACUGUUGCUCUUUUUGUACUUUGUCCAUUUGUAAAAUUGUUUUUAAAUGUUUAUACUUGAUUUUCAAACUGCCUUUUUUCUACAUUUAACUUUAUAAUCAAACAGUGCAAGCUUUCCCCAUGGUGUCUUGAAGACCGUAUUGUUUAAAAGUCUGCAAUUGUGUGCUAGCUUUAUGAUAAGAAUUAUCAGCCUAUAUUGAUGGUUACAAAUUAUUGUGUGGGUGUGCAUGUGCAAUCUUUUCUAAAAAAAAAACUAAAUAAAUUUGCUAUUUUGUAA